GACAGAGGUCCCGAGCGUUGUUCGGAUUCAUUGGGCGUAAAGGGUGCGUAGGCGGCGGGGUAAGUUUGAUGUGAAAUCCCGGGGCUCAACCCUGGAAUUGCAUUGAAUACUACCUUGCUAGAGUACCGGAGAGGAAACUGGAAUUUACGGUGUAGCAGUGAAAUGCGUAGAGAUCGUAAGGAAGACCAGUGGCGAAGGCGAGUUUCUGGACGGUAACUGACGCUGAGGCACGAAGGCCAGGGGAGCAAACGGG
rnacentral:rRNA from 1 species